CCCCUCUCAAAUUAGCAACUGGAGAGUUUCCCACACUCUACCAGCCUCAACUAUGGGAAGGAGAGUCAAGCAGAGGCAUAUCCAUUCCAUUCCUAGCUUGGGCAGUGGCUAGGGAGUGGAAGGCAAUCUACUACAAGU